UACGUAGGGUGCAAGCGUUAAUCGGAAUUACUGGGCGUAAAGCGUGCGCAGGCGGUUAUGCAAGACAGAUGUGAAAUCCCCGGGCUCAACCUGGGAACUGCAUUUGUGACUGCAUGGCUAGAGUACGGUAGAGGGGGAUGGAAUUCCGCGUGUAGCAGUGAAAUGCGCAGAUAUCGGGAGGAACACCGGUGGCGAAGGCGGAUCUCUGGGCCUGUCCUGACGCUCAGGCGCGAAAGCUAGGGGAGCAAACAGG
rnacentral:rRNA from 1 species